GCAUUUACUGGGACUGAUCAUUCAUGCCCAAUUUCAUUGUCUCCUGGGUGAUACAAACUGAUCAUUUCCACUGAUUACUUUUUCUUAUUCUAGUGUCCAGAGGACUUUAAGCAUGCUACUGCAUUUGCACAAAUCAAGGCCAAAUUUCUCAAGCUUUCAGGCCCUACCACAUGCUCAUUAGAUGUGUCCAAUCUAAAGCAUUAAAUUAGAUGGUCAUUUUUCAAGAAGGUAACUCCAUAAGGAUAAAGCUGCCUGUUAUGUGGACCACAAAGCUAAAAGUCCAGUAGCCGUCAUGAGUCACCUAACCCUGAAGAAGGAAGGGCAUCACUGAGGCUGGAACAACAAAGAAACGGCAGGAAGCUACAUCACAUCUCACCACGAAGAGCUGCCGCACCAGGCCUCGCCUGGCAACUCAGGAUGGCUUUUACACAUGUGUCAUGACGAGUCUGAUUCAUUUGUCUGUUGCUGUUGGUGGUGGUUUACUUUUUCCCUUCAGUUUUUAAAAUGAAUGAAGUAUAGUGGACAUAGAA